GAUGAAGAACGUAGCGAAAUGCGAUAAGUAAUGUGAAUUGCAGAAUUCAGUGAAUCAUCGAAUCUUUGAACGCACAUUGCGCCCUCUGGUAUUCCGGGGGGCAUGCCUGUCCGAGCGUCAUUACAACCCUCAAGCUUUGCUUGGUAUUGGACAUUGCCAGUUUCUGGCAGGUCUUAAAAUCAGUGGCGGUGCCAUUUGGCUUCAAGCGUAGUAAUUCUUCUCGCUUUGGAGAUCCAGGUGGUUACUUGCCAAUAACCCCCAAUUUUUUCAGGUUGACCUCGGAUCAGGUAGGGAUACCCGCUGAACUUAAGCAUAUCAAUAAGCGGAGGA
rnacentral:misc_RNA from 1 species